CUACGGGCGGCUGCAGUGAGGAAUAUUGCACAAUGGGGGAAACCCUGAUGCAGCAACGCCGCGUGGAGGAUGACGCAUUUCGGUGUGUAAACUCCUUUUAUGAGUCAAGAAAAUGACGGUAGCUCAUGAAUAAGCACCGGCUAACUCCGUGCCAGCAACCGCGGUAAUACGGAGGGUGCAAGCGUUACUCGGAAUCACUGGGCGUAAAGGACGCGUAGGCGGGCUUGUAAGUCAGGUGUGAAAUCCUACAGCUUAACUGUAGAACUGCACUUGAAACUACGAGCCUAGAGUAUGGGAGGGGCAGAUGGAAUUAGUGGUGUAGGGGUAAAAUCCGUAGAUAUCACUAGGAAUACCGAAAGCGAAGGCGAUCUGCUGGAACAUUACUGACGCUAAGGCGUGAAAGCGUGGGGAGCAAACGGGAUUAGAUACCCUGGUAGUC
rnacentral:rRNA from 1 species